GACGAACGCUGGCGGCAGGCUUAACACAUGCAAGUCGAACGCCCCGCAAGGGGAGUGGCAGACGGGUGAGUAACGCGUGGGAAUCUACCCAUCUCUGCGGAAUAGCUCUGGGAAACUGGAAUUAAUACCGCAUACGCCCUACGGGGGAAAGAUUUAUCGGGGAUGGAUGAGCCCGCGUUGGAUUAGCUAGUUGGUGGGGUAACGGCCUACCAAGGCGACGAUCCAUAGCUGGUCUGAGAGGAUGAUCAGCCACAUUGGGACUGAGACACGGCCCAAACUCCUACGGGAGGCAGCAGUGGGGAAUAUUGGACAAUGGGCGCAAGCCUGAUCCAGCCAUGCCGCGUGAGUGAUGAAGGCCUUAGGGUUGUAAAGCUCUUUCACCGAUGAAGAUGAUGACGGUAGUCGGAGAAGAAGCCCCGGCUAACUUCGUGCCAGCAGCCGCCGUAA
rnacentral:rRNA from 1 species